GACUUCAACUGAAAAAAUCAUUAACAACAAAAUUGUAUAAUUCAUCUAGAUCUAUAAUUUUUAUUUUGGUUAUUUAUUCAUCCGACAAAGUGAUUUUAACAUUGUUCACAAUUUUUACAUAUCUCUGUAUGGUUUUAUAAACUAUAAGAGAGAUAUGUAAAUUUUGUGAACAAUGUUAGUAUCACUUUGUCGGAUGAAUAAAUGACCAAAAUAAAAGUUAUAGAUAUUGAUGAGUUAUACAACUUUGUUGUUAUUGACUUUUUCAGUUCAAAUC
rnacentral:pre_miRNA from 1 species